rnacentral:rRNA from 1 species
UAGAGUUUUGAUCCUGGCUCAGAACGAACGCUGGCGGCAGGCUUAACACAUGCAAGUCGAACGCCCCGCAAGGGGAGUGGCAGACGGGUGAGUAACGCGUGGGAAUCUACCUAGCUCUUCGGAAUAGCUCCGGGAAACUGGAAUUAAUACCGAGUACGCCCUACGGGGGAAAGAUUUAUCGGGGGUUAGAUGAGCCCGCGUUGGAUUAGCUAGUUGGUGGGGUAAUGGCCUACCAAGGCGACGAUCCAUAGCUGGUCUGAGAGGAUGAUCAGCCACACUGGGACUGAGACACGGCCCAGACUCCUACGGGAGGCAGCAGUGGGGAAUAUUGGUCAAUGGGCGCAAGCCUGAACCAGCCAUGCCGCGUGAGUGAUGAAGGCCUUAGGGUUGUAAAGCUCUUUCAGUAGGGAAGAUAAUGACGGUACCUACAGAAGAAGCCCCGGCUAACUUCGUG